UUUGUAUACAAAAUAGCUGAAAAAGAUAAUAAGUAUAUAUAAAAUGAUGCCACCUGAACUUUGUUGGUAGAAGACUGCACAAAUUCAUGAUCUGAGCCCGUUAAGACAUAAAAAUAUAAAAGAGGUAACAGUCUGAGGUAAACACCAAAAGUUUAAAACUCCAGAUUUUAAACAUGUAUAUACAACUGUCUAUACCUUAAGUUGAUAUACACAUAUUUGUACUUUGGGGGAA